CAAUAGCGUAUAUUAAAGUUGUUGCAGUUAAAAAGCUCGUAGUUGGAUUUCUGGUGGGAGCGAUCGGUCUGGCGCUUAGCGCGAGUACUUGCAUCGUCUCCGGCCAUCCUUGGGGAGAGUCUGUCUGGCAUUAGGUUGUCGGGCAGAGGAUCCUCAUCGUUUACUGUGAAAAAAUUAGAGUGUUCAAAGCAGGCUUAUGCCGUUGAAUAUAUUAGCAUGGAAUAAUAAGAUAGGACUUUGGUACUAUUUUGUCGGUUUGCGCACCAAAGUAAUGAUUAAUAGGGACAGUUGGGGGUAUUCGUAUUCCGUUGUCAGAGGUGAAAUUCUUGGAUUUACGGAAGACGAACUACUGCGAAAGCAUUUACCAAGGAUGUUUUCAUUAA
rnacentral:rRNA from 1 species